rnacentral:rRNA from 1 species
AACGAACGCUGGCGGCAGGCCUAACACAUGCAAGUCGAGCGAGGACUUCGGUUCUAGCGGCGGACGGGUGAGUAACGCGUGGGAAUGUGCCCUUCUCUACGGAAUAGCCCUGGGAAACUGGGAGUAAUACCGUAUACGCCCUAUUGGGGAAAGAUUUAUCGGAGAAGGAUCAGCCCGCGUUGGAUUAGGUAGUUGGUGGGGUAUUGGCCUACCAAGCCGACGAUCCAUAGCUGGUUUGAGAGGAUGAUCAGCCACACUGGGACUGAGACACGGCCCAGACUCCUACGAGAGGCAGCAGUGGGGAAUCUUAGACAAUGGGGGCAACCCUGAUCUAGCCAUGCCGCGUGAGUGAUGAAGGCCUUAGGGUUGUAAAGCUCUUUCAGCUGGGAAGAUAAUGACGGUACCAGCAGAAGAAGCCCCGGCUAACUCCGUG